rnacentral:rRNA from 1 species
GAGACAGCAGCCGCCGCGGUAAUACGUAGGUCCCGAGCGUUGUCCGGAUUUACUGGGCGUAAGGCGAGCGCAGGCGGUUAGAUAAGUCUGAAGUUAAAGGCCGUGGCUUAACCAUAGUACGCUUUGGAAACUGUUUAACUUGAGUGCAAGAGGGGAGAGUGGAAUCCCAUGUGUAGCGGUGAAAUGCGUAGAUAUAUGGAGGAACACCAGUGGCGAAGGCGACUCUCUGGUCUGUAACUGACGCUGAGGAGCGAAAGCGUGGGGAGCGAACAGGAUUAGAUACCCCCGUAGUCCCUGUCUCUUAUACA